AUUGAACAAAGAUCCUGCACACAACUGGGACUGGCCCAUGGUCUAUUUUUAGAAGUGUAUCUUGAACCGUCACAGCUUUAUAAAAUACUACGCACUUUCGGUUUUAAUUCAGUACUGUGGCGGUUGUGGUAACGGGAGUUAAAAAACAUGAGACCUACGCUGCUAUUUCUGGUGCUUGUGGCCGUGCUUACGCCUGUCUCCAUUGGGAAGCCAGUCAACAAUGACGCUCACUUCAGGCAAAGACGAGACGAAGAGCAUACAAGGCAGAAACGUUUUGUUUUGAAGGCCAUCAAGGAAGUUGGGUGCGGAGCCUACACUGCCGUCAGAGAAUGUACUAGCGACUUUGAGUCAUGCGGACAGUUUUGUGCCUUUGUGGAUUCAGUAUGUAGUGUUGUGUCAAUGUCUAGUGGCGCCGUGUCACUAAUAUGUAAUACCGAUGUGGGAAACUAUGAACGUACCGUUUUGGAUGACUACCGACAGAGCAAUCACGGAUCUCGUACAGAUGCUGAAAGAUUCAUCAUGAAACUUGGCGAAGACAUUGAACACCUACCAAAAUCGUUCUGGGAGAAAUUGGCCAAUUUCUUCAAAAAUCUCUGGAAAACCAUCCGUGGAUGGUUUUCCUAAUUUGAUAUCCCAUUUUUUACGUAAAGAGGAAUUCAAUUCUCCAAAUUUGUUUUGUACAUAUUUGCACAUACAUUGUAGUUUUGUUUUAUUAUGUGGUGCCUACUGCAUCAGUGUUUAGUGUACUAUUCUGGUCACACAAUGCAAGGCGGAUUCUGUUUUCCUUGCAUGAUAUAAGAUAUAGGACACUGCUUUUUGAUAUUGUAAUUACAGUCUAGUUUUUGUCAUCCUUAUGACUGAGGCAUCAAAGGCCACAUUUACUCAAGUCAUUUAACUGCCUUGGAUUUAUUACAGUUAGUCCAGUUUUGUAAACUAUGUCUUGAGUGGAAUAGUUAUCUUUAAAACAACGGUUUCGACAGACCCUGAAAUGCAAAUAGAGGAGAGACAAAGGAAGUGAGAUGAGUUUAUCGCCGUGUUUAUAUUGCCCUUUUAUACCUUUCAUAUCGAGUUUAUGUGCAGUGUGUUGAGAAGAUCAGCAACCCUGUAGAGUCCUUAUCUGUUUGCUGCUCAGGACCAGUCACUUCCCACUCGAAACCGUCAAUGUUGGAUUUUGCAUCAAAAUUUGAAUAUGAAAUGUAGAUUAUGCAAUAAAUUUAAUGAGACUGUCCAACACAUUGUCAGUGUAUGCCACAGUAUCUUAAGCGACACGAUGGAGUGGCUCGGUUCUUUUAUUACCGUCGUCGCCAUGCUUGUGGUUUUGACACAGAGGUCCGUCCAUGGUACGACCCUGAAUAUGUAGAGGGCGUCAUGGAAAAUGAGAAAUACAAAAUUCUUUGAAAUAGGCCCGUAUACAGCCUCAAACAAAUCAGGCCAACAAACCUGAUCUUCUUCUUUUUAUAAAUCCAAUGAAAUCAUUUGUAUCAUUAAACUUUCUGUCCCUUUUGACACUAAUGUGAUUUGCAGUAUUCAGGAAAAACAAGGUAAAUAUGCGGACCUCGCUUUCGAAAUAUCACGCUUGCAUCCAAAAUACCGAGUUAUCCGACUCCCCCUUGUU
rnacentral:misc_RNA from 1 species